rnacentral:tRNA from 1 species
GCCCAACUAGCUCAGUCGGUAGAGCAUGAGACUCUUCAUGAGAUCUCAGGGUCGUGGGUUCAAGCCCCACGUUGGGCG